AUGUGUUUUUUUUUUAAUAAACAAGUCGGUUAUGGGUAUUUGAUAUUGCAGUUUUUAUGUAUCGAGUUAGUGCAAGCUGCGAUCGCCUCGGAAACGAGAGUUUCAGUGGCAGCCUUAGCCCAGUGAGGUUCGAGAUUCUUGCAGUGUCCACACCAAGGGGCGAAGAACUCAACGAGCCACAUGUCAUCGCUCUCCAAAACCAACUUAUUGAAGUUUUCAUCCGUCAAGGGAACAAAGAUGUAGCUGACGUCUCAUUAAAAUAAAAAUUACAUCGUGUUGUGUGGGAGCACGCAGGCGACUGUUGAUUUAUUUCAAACCUUAAACCGUAUUAGCAACAUAAAAAAAUACUUUCGACAUAAUGCCGCGCUCGAAAGAACGUACUAGAAAGCCGUUUGCGUGGGCGUGUAUCUUUUAAACCUUAAAAUCAUAGAGACAAUGUCUCUUAAAUAAAAUAAAUUAUACCUUAAUAAAGAAAAAAAAAAACUCCAAUAAUAAUUUUAAGAAUAUAAGGAAGAACGAAAAUUAUAUGAACCAGCCAGUAUUUAGUGAUAAGACCAAAGUAUUGUGUUAUGCAAACACAUUGAAGAUAAUAAGUUGUUAACCCCGUAAUAUAAACAUUAUGCAUAUUGGAAUAAAAUACAAUACUCAUUGCUUAAGAAAUUCAAAGAUUAAUUAAAAUACCUGCCAUAAAGGUAUGUCUAUAAUCUAUAUAUAUACUAUGAAGUCUGCUAGUUUAAAAAACACUAAAUCUUAAAUACAACAUAUAUAGUAAAUUUAUAACAGAAUAAAAAUAUAUUUAUAACUUAAUAACAAACCAUAAAAUAGUUCCUGUAAGUGUGAUAAUGUUUACAAAGAUUUUACUCUGUGACUCUUUUUUUUUUAUAGUUUCAUUAAAAUAAGACUGUGACCAAUUUUAUUAUUGCCAUCAUAAUAUAAUCAUUUAUGUGAAUUAAAUUUUUUGUAUUCAA